rnacentral:rRNA from 1 species
UUUGAUCCUGGCUCAAGGAUGAACGCUAGCGGCAGGCUUAACACAUGCAAGUCGAGGGGUAUAGUUCUUCGGAAUUAGAGACCGGCGCACGGGUGCGUAACGCGUAUGCAAUCUACCUUUCACAGAGGGAUAGCCCAGAGAAUUUGGAUUAAUACCUCAUAGUAUAGCAGUUUCGCAUGAAACCACUAUUAAAGUCACAACGGUGAAAGAUGAGCAUGCGUCCCAUUAGCUAGUUGGUAAGGUAACGGCUUACCAAGGCAACGAUGGGUAGGGGUCCUGAGAGGGAGAUCCCCCACACUGGUACUGAGACACGGACCAGACUCCUACGGGAGGCAGCAGUGAGGAAUAUUGGACAAUGGGCGCAAGCCUGAUCCAGCCAUGCCGCGUGCAGGAAUAAGGUCCUAUGGAUUGUAAACUGCUUUUAUACAGGAAGAAACACACCCUCGUGAGGGUACUUGACGGUACUGUAUGAAUAAGGACCGGCUAACUCCGUG